rnacentral:lncRNA from 1 species
UUUUAACAAAUAAUGCUUUAGGAAUAUAUUCUCCCCUAACAUCCUGCUCCUUUUUACUUCCCAGGUAUAAAAGCCAACAACAACACAGCGUGCAUGUUUUAUGUCAAAUAGAAAGAACUGCUCCAGGGAAUUGUUGGCCUCAAACUCCACAGACUUCAUCCCCGACUGGCACAAGACACAUCACAAUUCUGGAAACUGCGUAACCAGCAGGGAUUCACUAUGCACACAGCACGCUUACCUAGCCCCCAGGAACAGCUGAGCCAAGAGAGAGAAGGACUAAAGCAACCCUUGUGCCGUGCAGUCACGACCGAGACGCCGACAUACUGUUUGGAGCAAUGGAGCGGAACAAGCGACGCAGAAGAAGGAAUCCUGGAGGAGCAUAAAAACUGUAAGGUGAGGGACAAAAUGAACCACAGCUGUAGCAGUGGGCAUAUGACAGCAUGCUGUAGCAGUGGGCAUAUGACAGCAUGCAGAAGUGAUAUGUAGGAGUAAUGUUUCCACACGUAUCUCCCUAUAGGAAUACAGCAUAUUCUUCUUCCAGGCCUUUUACCUCUGGCAAGCUGGAGGGCGUAAAGUAGUAAUGAUCUUUUGGGGGGACUUCCCCUGUUGCUGGCUUAUUUGGCAGUUCUUGUGUGCAUGCCCUCUGUAGUUUAGAUACAAUCUUCCCACCCUGUUCAGAAUAUUAAGACCUUCAGGGGCUCUUUGUUUYUGAAAUAACAAAUGAAUAUAAACCUGAGUUUCAGGGCUAAUCUUCUGUUAAAGAGGCUAGUACAUAACCCCAAAGAAAGAGGUAAUUUAAAACCAUCUUAUCAUAUGAUCUGUCACUUUUCCAAAAUAUCUUCUCUGAUUUACCAUGACUUCCCAGAAAUAGUUUUGAUGACACAUCUGAAAUUUCAGAUUCAAAUAAAUUCAAAUAAAUUAAUUCA